rnacentral:lncRNA from 1 species
UUAAGUGGAUUAACUAGUUUAAGAACUUUGUAUCUCCAUACUAAUCAACUUUCUGGUCCCAUUCCUCCCGAGUUGGGAAAGUUGACAUCACUCCAGGACCUAGAAUUGAGCACGAAUAAUCUCACAGGUCAAAUUCCUACUUCGUUGAGAGCAUUAACUGCUUUAAGAACUCUGUAUCUCCAUACUAAUCAACUUUCUGGUCCCAUCCCUCCCGAGUUGGGAAAGUUGACAUCACUGCAGGACCUAGAAUUGAGCACGAAUAAUCUCACAGGUCAAAUUCCUACUUUGUUGAGUGGAUUAACUAAUUUAAGAACUCUGUAUCUCUAUGAGAAUCAACUUUCUGGUCCCAUCCCUCCCGAGUUGGGAAAGUUGACAUCACUCCAGGACCUCACACUUGGCACCAAUCAUCUCGCGGGUCAAAUUCCAACUUCGUUAAGUGGAUUAACUAGUUUAAGAACUCUGUAUCUCCAUACUAAUCAACUUUCUGGUCCCAUCCCUCCCGAGUUGGGAAAGUUGACAUCACUCCAGGACCUCACACUUGGCACCAAUCAUCUCGCGGGUCAAAUUCCAACUUCGUUAAGUGGAUUAACUAGUUUAAGAACUCUGUAUCUCCAUACUAAUCAACUUUCUGGUCCCAUCCCUCCCGAGUUGGGAAAGUUGACAUCACUCCAGGACCUAGAAUUGAGCAUGAAUAAUCUCACAGGUCAAAUUCCUACUUCGUUGAGUGGAUUAACUAGUUUAAGAAUUCUGUAUCUCUGUGAUAAUCAACUUUCUGGUCCCAUCCCUCCCGAGUUGGGAAAGUUGACAUCACUCCAGAAGCUAGGAUUGGGUACUAAUUAUCUCAUAGGUAAAAUCCUGGUUCCAUUUGAGAACCUCAGCCAUUUAAAAUUUUUUAGUCUAUCUCGAAACCAACUCUCUGGUUCUAUUCCAAGUGAACUAGGGAAAUUGAAGAAAUUGAUCAAUGUGACUAUGUUCUCUAAUCAUUUUUCA